rnacentral:rRNA from 1 species
CUACGGGCCGCUGCAGUGGGGAAUAUUGGACAAUGGGCGCAAGCCUGAUCCAGCCAUGCCGCGUGAGUGAUGAAGGCCCUAGGGUUGUAAAGCUCUUUCACCGGUGAAGAUAAUGACGGUAACCGGAGAAGAAGCCCCGGCUAACUUCGUGCCAGCAGCCGCGGUAAUACGAAGGGGGCUAGCAUUGUUCGGAUUUACUGGGCGUAAAGCGCACGUAGGCGGACUAUUAAGUCAGGGGUGAAAUCCCGGGGCUCAACCCCGGAACUGCCUUUGAUACUGGUAGUCUUGAGUUCGAGAGAGGUGAGUGGAAUUCCGAGUGUAGAGGUGAAAUUCGUAGAUAUUCGGAGGAGCACCAGUGGCGAAGGCGGCUCACUGGCUCGAUACUGACGCUGAGGUGCGAAAGCGUGGGGAGCAAACAGGAUUAGAUACCCUAGUAGUC